rnacentral:lncRNA from 1 species
ACUUGAAGGAGUCCUACAGCUGGAGGAACUGAAGAACAGACAUGCCAUGGGUAGCAGUGGUGAUACUGAAUGUGAAGUGUACACAGUACAGAACAGAAUCGAAGCACUUAUCUCAUUCUCUGUUCUCACCUAGGGAAGACCAGGAAAGGGUGCUUUCCAUCAAAGGCCUUCUAUUAUUCAGUCAAUUCACAUAAUGGAGGCAUUUCGUGUAGAAAACUAGAAACAAUAUCAGAUAUAGCUCAACCACACAUGUGCUUAGUAAGUACUAGUAACUUGAAUUAUCGAGCAACAAGGUUGCAUUAAUCCAUUCAUACAUGACUAGAUGGUGAGCAGAUGAAGAUAGUGUGAAGCUGAGCAAUAGCAAGAAAAUCAGUACAUUUUGUUUGAUCUUUGAACUCUCUUGAUUACAAGAGUCCUUAGGCCAGUCUCAAUGGGAGUUUCAUUAGAGUUUCAUGCACAUUAAAUAGGAAGUAGAGAGAGUUUCAUCCCCAUGAAACUCCUAUGCACUGGAAAAACUGUGUCAUGAAACUCCCAUUGAGGAUGGCCUUACAGCUGGGGCAACUGAAGAACAGAACAGGGCAUGGCUUUUCGUGUAGAAUUUCAGACAGUUCAUCAACCACACAUAUAUUAUCAACCACACACACAUAUAUUAGUAUUAACUUGAAUUAUCGCCAACAAGGUUCCAUCAAUACAUCAAGGAUCCAUCAAUACAUCAUGAUGAAAAUCGAAUAGCACAUCAAGCUAACAUGAACAUGAACCUGAAUUGUCUCUCGAUGAUAUUCGAAGAGAAGGCACGGACCCUGGGCGCUACUCUACUCGAACUUCUUGAUGAGGGAGAGGUCGUUGAGCAUCUUCUCGAUCUUCUCGUCCCUGGCGUCUCCGACGAACCUGCCGCCGG